GAUGAACGCUGGCGGCGUGCCUAAUACAUGCAAGUCGAGCGAACAGACGAGGAGCUUGCUCCUCUGACGUUAGCGGCGGACGGGUGAGUAACACGUGGAUAACCUACCUAUAAGACUGGGAUAACUUCGGGAAACCGGAGCUAAUACCGGAUAAUAUAUUGAACCGCAUGGUUCAAUAGUGAAAGACGGUUUUGCUGUCACUUAUAGAUGGACCCGCGCCGCAUUAGCUAGUUGGUAAGGUAACGGCUUACCAAGGCAACGAUGCGUAGCCGACCUGAGAGGGUGAUCGGCCACACUGGAACUGAGACGCGGUCCAGACUCCUACGGGAGGCAGCAGUAGGGAAUCUUCCGCAAUGGGCGAAAGCCUGACGGAGCAACGCCGCGUGAGUGAUGAAGGUCUUCGGAUCGUAAAACUCUGUUAUUAGGGAAGAACAAAUGUGUAAGUAACUAUGCACGUCUUGACGGUACCUAAUCAGAAAGCCACGGCUAACUACGUG
rnacentral:rRNA from 1 species